rnacentral:rRNA from 1 species
AACCAGCACCUCAAGUGGUCAGGAUGAUUAUUGGGCCUAAAGCAUCCGUAGCCGGCUAUGUAAGUUUUCGGUUAAAUCUGUGCGCUUAACGUACAGGCUGCCGGGAAUACUGCACAGCUAGGAAGUGGGAGAGGUAGACGGUACUCGGUAGGAAGGGGUAAAAUCCUUUGAUCUAUUGAUGACCACCUGUGGCGAAGGCGGUCUACCAGAACACGUUCGACGGUGAGGGAUGAAAGCUGGGGGAGCAAACCGGAUUAGAUACCCGGGUAGUCCCAGCCGUAAACUAUGCAAACUCAGUGAUGCAUUGGCUUGUGGCCAAUGCAGUGCUGCGGGGAAGCCGUUAAGUUUGCCGCCUGGGAAGUACGUACGCAAGUAUGAAACUUAAAGGAAUUGGCGGGGGAGCACCACAAGGGGUGAAGCCUGCGGUUCAAUUGGAGUCAACGCCAGAAAUCUUACCCGGAGAGACAGCAGAAUGAAGGUCAAGCUGAAGACUUUACCAGACAAGCUGAGAGGUGGUGCAUGGCCGUCGCCAGCUCGUGCCGUGAGAUGUCCUGUUAAGUCAGGUAACGAGCGAGAUCCCUGCCUCUAGUUGCCACCAUUACUCUCAGGAGUAGUGGGGCGAAUUAGCGGGACCGCCGCAGUUAAUGUGGAGGAAGGAAGGGGCCACGGCAGGUCAGUAUGCCCCGAAACUCUGGGGCCACACGCGGGCUGCAAUGGUAGUGACAAUGGGUUCCGAAUCCGAAAGGAGGAGGUAAUCCUCAAACGCUACCACAGUUGUGACUGAGGGCUGCAACUCGCCCUCACGAACAUGGAAUCCCUAGUAACUGCGUGUCAUUAUCGCGCGGUGAAUACGUCCCUGCUCCU